UCAUCCCACAAAUCCUGAUCACCCCUGAUUACCUGCCGGAAAAAAAACACAGCGUGAGCCAAUUGCCCAGUACGGAUACAAAGAUGAAUAAAUAUAUCACAAUAAAUAAUGAAUCUAAAAGAAUUUAAUGAAUGAACAUGUAAAUUACAAACGACUGACGAAUAGAUCAAAAUUUGAGAGUCCAUUAACAAAUGACUAACACUGUCAAUCGAAUAAUUAUAGCCAAAAGAAUUCCAAAUAAAUAAGGCUAAAUCAAAUGGUUGUAAGAUAACAAUUUCAUACUGAGCUCAAAUACAAAUAGCCAAAGGCUAACAAAAUACAUCGGUACCAUGAUGUAUACAAAUCAAAUCGGAUAGUACGCACGACACAUACGUCACUAAUCCUCCAAACAAAUCAAAUCAAAUCAAAUACUGGGUCGACCCAUACAUAUCCUGAACAAAUAUAUCAAAUGGCCAAAGCUCAUAGCCAGAGCAUACAAAAGGAUACGCCGUGGACUAAUCACACCGCCACGGAAGGUGUCAUGCCCUUGUGUCAAGAGGACAUGCCUGUGGUACCCCCACAGGUGGUUAGCUCAAGUAUACCCUAAGGAUCAAACUACAAAAUGUAAGCCAAAAGGGGUUCAAAUCACAAGUCUUACAUGACCAUAUUCAAAUGAAAUUGAAUUAUCAAAUACAAACAUUAUUAAUUAUCACAAUAUAUCAAUGAUCAAAAUAACUCCCGAAUGUGAACGAAAAUAUACGAACAAUGGUACAAACGAAUAAAGUCCCCAAAACAUAUUGGCACGAUUAACUAGUUCAAAGAGUACAAAUACGAAUUCCAAUAUCAACGCCAAAACGAAACUAUCUCAAUAAUUUUGACAACAAGAAAUAAUCCUGAG
rnacentral:lncRNA from 1 species